GAGAAGGGCGUUUGGUGGAUGCCUUGGCAGUAAGAGGCGAUGAAGGACGUGAUACUCUGCGAUAAGCUAUGGGGAGCCGAGAAUAGGCUUUGAUCCACGGAUUUCUGAAUGGGGCAACCCACCUGACAGUUUCUUAUUGAUAGCUUCGGUUAUCAAUAAGUCGCUGAACCAGGUAUUUAUAGACUGAAUACAUAGGUUUAUAAAAGCAAACCCGGGGAACUGAAACAUCUAAGUACCCAUAGGAAGAGAAAGAAAAUUCGAUUCCCUGAGUAGCGGCGAGCGAAAAGGGAACAGCCCAAACCAGAGAGCUUGCUCUCUGGGGUUGUAGGACUGGACAUUUGAGUUACCAAGAAACGAAGUAGUUGAAUGAUUUGGGAAGAUCAGCCAGAGAAGGUGAUAGCCCUGUAAACGAAACUUCGUUUCCUCAGCCCAGUAUCCUGAGUACGGCGGAAUACGUGAAACUCCGUCGGAAUCCGGGAGGACCAUCUCCCAAGGCUAAAUACUCUCUAGUGACCGAUAGUGAACCAGUACCGUGAGGGAAAGGCGAAAAGAACCCCUGUGAGGGGAGUGAAAUAGAUCCUGAAACCGU
rnacentral:rRNA from 1 species